GUUUUCUGACAAAAACAGAUUGUUCUCUCUCACACAAAUGCUCUUUCACGACCAAACAUCACCCAUCUCCUUUCACCACCAAACAUCACCCACCUCUGUUCACCGCAGACCUUCGUCGUUCUCUCUCUCUCUCUCUAACCCAAACAAACCAAACAAAAAUGGAGAAAUCAGAAGGAGAAGAGUAAACGCGUGAGUAAACUAGGCGUAUCAUGAGGAGGGUUCAACAAUCACAACGUGCAAAGAAGUUGGUGUAAUUCGACGAAGAAGAAGAAGAAGAAGAAGAAGAGCACGAUCGAAAGAACAAUGGGAUUGAUUGGAGUGACAACGGUGGUGGACUCUAUCAAAUCUAUUCAAUUCCAGCAGGCAUUCUCUCGGGCCGUCACUCUCGUUUCUUGAUCUUUGUAUAGGACCAUGAAUGGAGGCAAGCCGUAACUGCAGCUGGUUCAGGAUGCAUUGCUGCUUUAUCAGUUGAGAGAUAUCUUACCGGCAACAAUCUCCUUGUUGAAUUUCACCAACCUAAGACUGAAGAGGUUAAGAAGGAACUCACAGACAGACAUGUACAAGAAGGUUUUGGCAUCUCUAUCUUUUUGGUGCUAUUUGCUUGUGAAGACCCACAAGGGUAAUGCAAAGAUUUUGCAUUAUAUAAAUUUCUUUUAUAUUAUCAAAUAUUCCAAUGCUAUUUGGUCAAUACUAAUGAUUUUUAUUUUUUUUUUACAAAUAUUGUUGGCAUGGAAUUGUAGAUAUUCCUUUUUUGUCUAUGGAUGACAUGGUUUUUGUACUACUUUUUAUUCUGUAUGAAAUUAUUAUUUUCAGUUGGAA